CCUACGAGGCUGCAGUGGGGAAUAUUGGACAAUGGGGGCAACCCUGAUCCAGCCAUGCCGCGUGUGUGAAGAAGGCCCUCGGGUUGUAAAGCACUUUCAGUGAGGAAGAACGCCUGGUGGUUAAUACCCAUCAGGAAAGACAUCACUCACAGAAGAAGCACCGGCUAACUCCGUGCCAGCAGCCGCGGUAAUACGGAGGGUGCGAGCGUUAAUCGGAAUUACUGGGCGUAAAGCGCGCGUAGGUGGCUUGAUAAGCCGGUUGUGAAAGCCCCGGGCUCAACCUGGGAACGGCAUCCGGAACUGUCAAGCUAGAGUGCAGGAGAGGAAGGUAGAAUUCCCGGUGUAGCGGUGAAAUGCGUAGAGAUCGGGAGGAAUACCAGUGGCGAAGGCGGCCUUCUGGACUGACACUGACACUGAGGUGCGAAAGCGUGGGUAGCAAACAGGAUUAGAUACCCCUGUAGUC
rnacentral:rRNA from 1 species